rnacentral:lncRNA from 1 species
UUGAAGUUCCCUCCUAAAUCUUUCCAUUCCGUCUUUAUCCCCACUCAUUUGUAGUUCCCUCUUCAUAACCCUAUCAAUUCACCUCCCGUCCUCCCGAGAUGAUAUCCACAACGAACCAUCACCGACAUGAACCAACCAAACCCCCAUCACACCAACGCGAACCAGCAUCACCACCACCGGAUCUCUCUCAUACCACCAUGACACCACCACAGAUGUGUUGUUGAUGGUGUAUAUCAUCCUACGAGGGUUUCAAAUGGUUCUGAUAGAUGAAACACUUGGAAUACAACUUCUGAUGUACCAGUUAUCAUUAAAAUUCAUUAUAAUUUUUGGAAAAAUUGUAUUAGUGUGUUUCUUUGCCAGGUGCUCCGAAGUCUCACACCACUCUCACUUCUAUAGAUCAGGAUUGCUGCUUCUUUUAUGCUCUAUUGGUUUUACCGUACUUUAGCUAUUAUGGGGAAUGAGCUUCAUAGCCAGGGAAUGUUUAACGAGGCACUAGAAAAGUAUUUACGGGUACUGGUAACUGAUGCAAGAAAUGUUAAAGCUCUUUGUAGGAGAGAGGCGAGACAUGUAAAAGUUUAGGGCAACUUGAAGAAAUUUAUGAUAUGAGACCUGGAUAGCAUGGAUAGGCCUAUGCUUUAAAGAAUUUCUAUGUUUGGAUCUUGGUUUGCUUUAAUGCCCCUCAGGUUGGUGAAGAACAUAGGAAUACUUCGCUGCAAUAUGGAUGGCAUUCAUGAAGAAUGGUCGAGUUAUGCGGCGGCAACUAUUAUUUUUAUAUGAC